CCUACGGGAGGCAGCAGUGAGGAAUAUUGGUCAAUGGUCGGAAGGCUGAACCAGCCAUGCCGCGUGAAGGUCAGUGCCCUAUGGGCGUUAAACUUCUUUUGUGCGGGAGCAAUAAUGGUCACGUGUGGCCAGACGAGAGUACCGUACGAAUAAGCAUCGGCUAACUCCGUGCCAGCAGCCGCGGUAAUACGGGGGAUGCAAGCGUUAUCCGGAUUUAUUGGGUUUAAAGGGUGCGUAGGCUGUGAGGUAAGUCAGCGGUGAAAUGCCCCCGCUCAACGGGGUGAAGUGCCAUUGAUACUGCCAUGCUGGAAUGCGGAUGCCGUGGGAGGAAUGUGUGGUGUAGCGGUGAAAUGCAUAGAUAUCACACAGAACACCGAUUGCGAAGGCAUCUCACGAAUCCGCGAUUGACGCUGAUGCACGAAAGCGUGGGUAUCAAACAGGAUUAGAUACCCCAGUAGUC
rnacentral:rRNA from 1 species